UACGUAGGCAGCGAGCGUUGUUCGGAGUUACUGGGCGUAAAGAGUGCGUAGGCGGUUUUCUAAGUUUGGUGUGAAAUCUCCCGGCUUAACUGGGAGGGUGCGCCGAAAACUGGAAGGCUUGAGUAUGGGAGAGGUAAGCGGAAUUCCUGGUGUAGCGGUGAAAUGCGUAGAUAUCAGGAGGAACACCUGCGGUGUAGACGGCUUUCUGGACCGUAACUGACGCUGAGACACGAAAGCGUGGGUAGCAAACAGG
rnacentral:rRNA from 1 species